AAAAGUGUGGGAGAGCCAUGCUUCGGCACGAAUGGGCCGGCUCGACCGGAGUAAUACCACGGCCUCACAGAAAACCGACGUGAAACAACGCUUGCGUUGUGUUUCGUUGUGUGAGUGAGGUUACCGGAGGCCCAAUUCCCCCCUUCCCAAUCUUCCCCAUCCCCAUUCCCGAACAACAACCCUUAAAUUCCUAACUCCCAAAAAGCCGGUAACGCACUUGUAAAGCCUCUGGUGUUUCAAGUGUCCAUGGGUGGCGGCGAUUGCUUACCAUCAGGUAAUACGUCUGCUCGAUUACCGGCAUGUAUCAUAAAAAAAACUGUUUAGGUAAAACAUAUUCUUAAAUUAUUUUAUACGUAUGAACAUUAUGUAUCUUAACAACGCAUAUCAUGGGUUUUUAUCACAUCUUUGAUUUGCGCGUCCAAUUUAAUUUUUGCUGAUUAAAAUACACACGAUUAGAAUGUGACGUCAAUGGUCCCUAGUUAUGUUAUGCGUUUCUUGUUUUGAGAGGUGAGUCUAUAGCCUUAUAUCUAGCACAUUUUCACAAAUAUCAAACCAAAAGGUCCUUACUUUUAUUGGGCGGUAAUUGGGCCUCCGGUAACCUUUCUAACACAAUGUAAGCGUUGUUUCACGUCAGUUUUCUGUGAGGCCGUGGUAGCUGACCCAUUCGUGAAGAGGCAUGGCUCUCCCACACUUGGCAGUCAUACUUGUGACUAUACAUCUAUACUAAUAUUAUAAAGCUGAAGAUUUUGUUUGUUUGUUUGUUUGAACGCGCUAAUCUCCAGAACUACUGGUCCGAUUUGAAUAAUUAUUUUUAUGUUGAAUAGUGCAUUUAUCUAGGAAGGCUAUAGGCUAUAAAACAUCACGCUACGACCAAUAGGAGCCAAGCAGAGCGGGUGAAACCGCGCGGAAGUAGCUAGUAUAACAUAACUGGCUAAAACGAAGUAUUGCUAUAAAUUAACAGCUCUAUGCAUCCAUUAAGGUCUUAAGAGAUUCGGAGCUGCGGACUACCAAGCGGGUUUACCGGGGCUCCGGCUUAAACAGCAGGAACGGGGUGGUUUUUAGUCAGUAUGUGUCUGACACUCCCUCCCGCCUCGCCCAAGGCGGGAGAAGUCAUUGGAUGAUUUUCCCCCCUCAAAAAAAAAGGGUCUUGUGGGAUGAGUAGAAGU